CCUACGGGUGGCAGCAGUAGGGAAUCUUCGGCAAUGGACGAAAGUCUGACCGAGCAACGCCGCGUGAGUGAAGAAGGUUUUCGGAUCGUAAAACUCUGUUGGUAGAGAAGAACGUUGGUGAGAGUGGAAAGCUCAUCAAGUGACGGUAACUACGCAGAAAGGGACGGCUAACUAGGUGCCAGCAGCGGCGGUAAUACGUAGGUCCCGAGCGUUGUCGGGAUUUAUGGGGGGUAAAGCGAGCGAAGGGGGGUUAUGAGUUGGAGUUUAAAAGGCAGUGGCUCAAUCAUGGUAUGCAUUGGAGACUGGUAGACUUGAGUGUAGGAGAGGAGAGUGGAAUUCCAUGUGUAGCGGUGAAAUGCGUAGAUAUAUGGAGGAACACCGGUGGCGAAAGCGGCUCUCUGGCCUGUAACUGACACUGAGGCUCGAAAGCGUGGGGAGCAAACAGGAUUAGAUACCCUGGUAGUC
rnacentral:rRNA from 1 species